rnacentral:lncRNA from 1 species
CCCAGAAGCCAGACUGAGAAAGAAAAGCAUAAAGGACACGCAACAGCAUGAUGCCUGAGCAAGGAAUGUGGAUGGAGAAGGGAAUAUUGGACAAGGUCAGGACCGCCACUUCUAGAGAAAUGUGAUACCGGGACAAGAUAUGACUAAAAAUGUCUGCAGAGCAGCAGAGAGUGCCUACCUCAAGCAAGAGGACAUUUCUGACAUAAUGUUUAUAUCUUCCAUUGCACUUAUUACAGUGCUAGCGAUAUAACACAUACCCAGCAGAAGGUUGAUAGCAUAUAAACAACUACAUUUUCAACUUGGCCUUUAUGAUGUCCCUGCUUCUGGAUUUUGUUUAGUUCUUCUGCUAUUUUCCAG